rnacentral:rRNA from 1 species
GAGGCCGGUUAUCGGAAUGGGUACAAUUCAACCUGUUAACGAGGAUCUAUGAGAGGGCAAGUCUGGUGCCAGCAGCCGCGGUAAUUCCAGCUCUCAAAGUGUAUAUCGUCAUUGCUGCGGUUAAAAAGCUCGUAGUUGGAUCUGCGCCUAAGGACCCGGUCCGUCUUAUGGAUGAGAACUGGGCUCCUAGGCUACGACUGCCGGUUUUCCUUACGUUGCCUUCACCGGUCGCGUAGGGUGGCCGGCGAGUUUACCUUGAAAAAAUUAGAGUGCUCAAAGCGGGCUAAUGCCUGAAUAUUCGUGCAUGGAAUAAUGAAAUAGGAUCUCGGUUCUAUUUUGUUGGUUUUCUGAUCUGAGAUAAUGGUUAAGAGGGACGGACGGGGGCAU